UACGAAGGGGGCUAGCGUUGUUCGGAAUUACUGGGCGUAAAGCGCGCGUAGGCGGUGAUCUUUGUCAGAGGUGAAAUCCCGAGGCUCAACUUCGGAAUUGCCUUUGAAACGGGAUCGCUUGAGUCCGAGAGAGGAUGGCGGAAUUCCGUAGUGUAGAGGUGAAAUUCGUAGAUAUUAGGAAGAACACCGGUGGCGAAGGCGGCCAUCUGGCUCGGUACUGACGCUCAGGCGCGAAAGCGUGGGGAGCAAACAGGG
rnacentral:rRNA from 1 species